GACGAACGCUGGCGGCGUGCCUAAUACAUGCAAGUUGAGCGAUGAAGCUUGGUGCUUGCACCAAUUUGAAGAGCAGCGAACGGGUGAGUAACGCGUGGGGAAUCUGCCUUUGAGCGGGGGACAACAUUUGGAAACGAAUGCUAAUACCGCAUAACAACUUUAAACAUAAGUUUUAAGUUUGAAAGAUGCAAUUGCAUCACUCAAAGAUGAUCCCGCGUUGUAUUAGCUAGUUGGUGAGGUAAAGGCUCACCAAGGCGAUGAUACAUAGCCGACCUGAGAGGGGGAUCGGCCACAUUGGGACUGAGACACGGCCCAAACUCCUACGGGAGGCAGCAGUAGGGAAUCUUCGGCAAUGGACGAAAGUCUGACCGAGCAACGCCGCGGGAGGGAAGAAGGUUUUCGGAUCGUAAAACUCUGUUGGUAGAGAAGAACGUUGGUGAGAGUGGAAAGCUCAUCAAGUGACGGUAACUACCCAGAAAGGGACGGCUAACUACGUG
rnacentral:rRNA from 1 species